GGGGGGGGGGGGGGGGGGGGGGGGGGGGGGGGGGGGGGGGGGGGGGGGGGGGGGGGGGGUUACGAUUUUUACUUCCUCUAGACAGUCAAGUUCGCUCAUCUUUUCGGCGCACCGGCACGAGCCGACACGACAACAACAAGUGUCACGGAGGGCUUGUGCAGGGGAUGAUCCGAGGUUCUCACCAAACCAUCCGAUCAGUCGUAGCGACGGGCGGUGUGUACAAAGAGCAGGGACUUAAUCAACGCGAGCUGAUGACUCGCGCUUACUGGGAAUUCCUCGUUCGUGGGACACUGUCUCAAGCCCCAGUCCCCAUCACGGACGGGGCUCAGCGGUUUACCCGAGCCUGUCGGGGGGGGGGGGGGGGGGGGGGGGGGGGGGGGGGGGGGGGGGGGGGGGGGGGGGGGGGGGGGGGGGGGGGGGGGGGGGGGGGGGGGGGGGGGGGGGGGGGGGGGGGGGGGGGGGGGGGGGGGGGGGGGGGGGGGGGGGGGGGGGGGGGGGGGGGGGGGGGGGGGGGGGGGGGGGGGGGGGGGGGGUGGCGGGGUCUCGCUCGUUAUCGGAAUCAACCAGACGGAUCGCUCCACCAACUAAGAACGGCCAUGCACCACCACCCACAGAAUCGUGAAAGAGCUCUCAGUCUGUCAAUCCUUCUCGUGUCCGGCCCAGGUGAGCUUUGCAACCAUACUCCCCCCGGAACCCAGAAACUCCUGGUGGUGCCCUUCCGUCAAUUCCUUUAAGUUUCAGCUUUGCAACCAUACUCCCCCCGGAACCCAGAAACUCCUGGUUUCCCUCAUGGCUGCCGGACGGGUCAUGCCAUUCGACGCCGCCCGAUCGCCGGUCGGCAUAGUUUACCGUCGAAACUAGGGCGGUAUCUGAUCGCCUUCGAGCCUCCGACCUUCGUUCUUGAUUAAGGAAAACAUUCUUGGCAAAUGCUUUCGCUUUAGUCCGUCUUGCGCCGGUCCCAGAAUUUCACCUCUCGCGGCGCAGUACGAAUGCCCCCGGCAGUCCCUCUCAAUCGGGGGGGGGGGGGGGGGGGGGGGGGGGGGGGGGGGGGGGGGGGGGGGGGCAAUCAUGACCUCCGUCCCGCAAAACCAACAAAAUAGGACCGAGGCCCUAUUCCAUUAUUCCCAGCUGCGGUGUACAGGCUCCACCGACCCACUCUGAGCACUCCAGUUUCCUCAAGGUAAACGCUUCCGGCCCACAACGGACACUCAUCCAAGAGCGUCCGCAGGGCUCCAACAUCCUGGCCCCCGGGGACGGGCGGGGACAGGAAGUGCGCCUCGUGGCACGUCCCCCAAUCCCCCCCCCCCGCGAGCCCCGCCGUGAUUUACAAAUACGAGCUUUUUAACUGCAACAGCGUUCGCUUACGCUGUUGGAGCUGGAAUUACCGCGGCUGCUGGCACCAGACUUGCCCUCCAAUGGAUCCUCGCACAUGGGUUUAAGGUGCACCCAUUCCGAUAGCAGCGCCUCGACCGAGGCCUGCAUCGGUAUUUUUCGUCACUACCUCACCGUGUCGGGAGUGGGUAAUUUGCGCGCCUGCUGCCUUCCUUGGAUGUGGUAGCCGUUUCUCAGGCUCCCUCUCCGGAAUCGAACCCUGAUUCCCCAUCACCCGAAGCCACCAUGGCAGGCGCGAGGCCUGCCAUCGAAAGUUGAUAGGGCAGACAUUCGAAUGAAACGUCGCCGGCGCAGAGGCCGAGCGAUCUGCCAUGGUUUAUCCAGAGUCACCAUCCCGUGGACGGGCCCACGCCGAGCCCCGAACCCUCCCCGAAGGACCUCACCCCACGAAGGGGAAAGGAAGGGAAGGUGGGUGGGCACAAGGUCGGUUUUUGGUGCUGAUAAAUGCGCGCCUCCCCACGACGUCAGGGAACCUUCACCCGUGGGGACCGGCGCUCGUUUGCAUGUAUUAGCUCUAGAAUUGCCACAGUUAUCCGAGUAACUUCCGAGCGCUCAAAGAGACCACAACUGAUUUAAUGAGCCAUUCACAGUCUGAACGGGUCCUUCCAUUCACACGGAGACAUGAAUGGCUUAAUCUUUGAGACAAGCAUAUGCGGCUGGCAGGAUCAACCAGGGAGCGGCGUGAGGAGCCGCUGCAAAGACCACGACACGCCGACCGUCACGCGCCACGUGGCACGUCGCACAUGGCACGUCGCACGUGCCGGGCCGGGGAGCACCGGGAGAACCGCGCG
rnacentral:rRNA from 1 species